UGGGGAAUUUUGGACAAUGGGGGAAACCCUGAUCCAGCCAUCCCGCGUGUGCGAUGAAGGCCUUCGGGUUGUAAAGCACUUUUGGCAGGAAAGAAACGUCGCGGGUUAAUACCCCGCGGAACUGACGGUACCUGCAGAAUAAGCACCGGCUAACUACGUGCCAGCAGCCGCGGUAAUACGUAGGGUGCAAGCGUUAAUCGGAAUUACUGGGCGUAAAGCGUGCGCAGGCGGUUCGGAAAGAAAGAUGUGAAAUCCCAGAGCUUAACUUUGGAACUGCAUAACUACCGGGCUAGAGUGUGUCAGAGGGAGGUGGAAUUCCGCGUGUAGCAGUGAAAUGCGUAGAUAUGCGGAGGAACACCGAUGGCGAAGGCAGCCUCCUGGGAUAACACUGACGCUCAUGCACGAAAGCGUGGGGAGCAAACAGGAUUAGAUACCCUGGUGGUCCACGCCCUAAACGAUGUCAACUAGCUGUUGGGGUCUUCGGACCUUGGUAGCGCAGCUAACGCGUGAAGUUGACCGCCUGGGGAGUACGGUC
rnacentral:rRNA from 1 species